ensembl:lncRNA
GUUGUAUUCAGCAUUUCACUGUAAGGUCUACUACACCUGUUGUAGUCAGCAUUUCACUGUAAGGUCUACCUACACCUGUUGUAUUCGGCAUUUCACUGUAAGGUCUACUACACCUGUUGUAUUCAGCAUUUCACUGUAAGGUCUACUACACCUGUUGUAUUCAGCAUUUCACUGUAAGGUCUACUACACCUGUUGUAUUCAGCAUUUCACUGUAAGGUCUACUACACCUGUUGUAUUCAGCAUUUCACUGUAAGGUAUACUACACCUGUUGUAUUCAGCAUUUCACUGUAAGGUCUACUACACCUGUUGUAUUCAGCAUUUCACUGUAAGGUAUACUACACCUGUUGUAUUCAGCAUUUCACUGUAAGGUCUACUACACCUGUUGUAUUCAGCAUUUCACUGUAAGGUCUAC